rnacentral:rRNA from 1 species
UGAGUAACACGUGAGUAACCUGCCCUUAACUCUGGGAUAAGCCUGGGAAACUGGGUCUAAUACCGGAUAAGGAGCGUCCACCGCAUGGUGGGUGUUGGAAAGAUUUAUCGGUUUUGGGAUGGACUCGCGGCCUUAUCAGCUUGUUGGUGAGGUAAUGGCUCACCAAGGCGACGACGGGUAGCCGGCCUGAGAGGGUGACCGGCCACACUGGGACUGAGACACGGCCCAGACUCCUACGGGAGGCAGCAGUGGGGAAUAUUGCACAAUGGGCGAAAGCCUGAUGCAGCGACGCCGCGUGAGGGAUGACGGCCUUCGGGUUGUAAACCUCUUUCAGUAGGGAAGAAGCGAAAGUGACGGUACCUGCAGAAGAAGCACCGGCUAACUACGUGCCAGCAGCCGCGGUAAUACGUAGGGUGCGAGCGUUAUCCGGAAUUAUUGGGCGUAAAGAGCUCGUAGGCGGUUUGUCGCGUCUGUCGUGAAAGUCCGGGGCUUAACCCCGGAUCUGCGGUGGGUACGGGCAGACUAGAGUGCAGUAGGGGAGACUGGAAUUCCUGGUGUAGCGGUGGAAUGCGCAGAUAUCAGGAGGAACACCGAUGGCGAAGGCAGGUCUCUGGGCUGUAACUGACGCUGAGGAGCGAAAGCAUGGGGAGCGAACAGGAUUAGAUACCCUGGUAGUCCAUGCCGUAAACGUUGGGCACUAGGUGUGGGGACCAUUCCACGGUUUCCGCGCCGCAGCUAACGCAUUAAGUGCCCCGCCUGGGGAGUACGGCCGCAAGGCUAAAACUCAAAGGAAUUGACGGGGGCCCGCACAAGCGGCGGAGCAUGCGGAUUAAUUCGAUGCAACGCGAAGAACCUUACCAAGGCUUGACAUGUUCUCGAUCGCCGUAGAGAUACGGUUUCCCCUUUGGGGCGGGUUCACAGGUGGUGCAUGGUUGUCGUCAGCUCGUGUCGUGAGAUGUUGGGUUAAGUCCCGCAACGAGCGCAACCCUCGUUCCAUGUUGCCAGCACGUCGUGGUGGGGACUCAUGGGAGACUGCCGGGGUCAACUCCGAAGGAAGGUGAGGACGACGUCAAAUCAUCAUGCCCCUUAUGUCUUGGGCUUCACGCAUGCUACAAUGGCCGGUACAAUGGGUUGCGAUACUGUGAGGUGGAGCUAAUCCCAAAAAGCCGGUCUCAGUUCGGAUUGGGGUCUGCAACUCGACCCCAUGAAGUCGGAGUC